rnacentral:rRNA from 1 species
GACGAACGCUGGCGGCGUGCUUAACACAUGCAAGUCGAACGGAAAGGCCCUGCUUUUGUGGGGUGCUCGAGUGGCGAACGGGUGAGUAACACGUGAGUAACCUGCCCUUGACUUUGGGAUAACUUCAGGAAACUGGGGCUAAUACCGGAUAGGAGCUCCUGCUGCAUGGUGGGGGUUGGAAAGUUUCGGCGGUUGGGGAUGGACUCGCGGCUUAUCAGCUUGUUGGUGGGGUAGUGGCUUACCAAGGCUUUGACGGGUAGACGGCCUGAGAGGGUGACCGGCCACAUUGGGACUGAGCUACGGCCCAGACUCCUACGGGAGGCAGCAGUGGGGAAUAUUGCACAAUGGGCGGAAGCCUGAUGCAGCAACGCCGCGUGCGGGAUGACGGCCUUCGGGUUGUAACCCGCUUUCGCCUGUGACGAAGCGUGAGUGACGGUAAUGGGUAAAGAAGCACCGGCUAACUACGUG